GCAGUGUCCCUGAAGGGUUUGCAGAUCACCAGGGGAGCAAACCCCAGGAUCUGCUGCUCCACCACGAAGGGGGAUGGAUGAAAUGUGACCCAGCUGCUCCUGGAGCAUCUCCCACUGGUGCACAAGAGUCACCAGAUGGAAUUGAAUCAUUGUCUAGGAUUUAGGAGUGAUAUAUGCAAUCCUAAACCACUCCAGAUUGUUACAGGCGUGACUGUCCUGAUCCUGGUGAAGCAAACAGAAGAGCUUGGAAGAGCCAAUGUAUUUUAUAGCACUGGAGUGGAAGUGGAUCUGGUGAAUCUCAUGUGGACAUUUUGCCCACAUGGAUCCUGUGUGUCCCCAUCAUUUUGGAUCACCAUCACUCACAGUGCCAGGUGAGAGACAGGCAGGCACUCAGGAGUCACCUGAAUCUAAAAGAUUUAGCA